UACGUAGGGGGCAAGCGUUGUCCGGAAUCAUUGGGCGUAAAGCGCGCGUAGGCGGCCCGGUAAGUCCGCUCUGAAAGUCCAGGGCUCAACCCUGGAAAGCGGGUGGAUACUGCCGGGCUAGAAUCCGGAAGAGGCGAGUGGAAUUCCUGGUGUAGCGGUGGAAUGCGCAGAUAUCAGGAAGAACACCAAUGGCGAAGGCAGCUCUCUGGGACGGUACUGACGCUGAGACGCGAAAGCGUGGGGAGCGAACAGG
rnacentral:rRNA from 1 species